rnacentral:lncRNA from 1 species
GGAGGUGUGGGACCACGUAGAUUCCUUGGUACAGUGAUACUCGCACACCAGCGAGAGCACUGAUGAGGGUGACGACACCAAGGAAGAUGAUGGCAACAACAACGACAAUGCUUCAUUUUCCUAGGCCUCUCCAUCUCCUCUAUCUCCUAUAUGCGAGCAAACACAACCAUGUGUGCACAUGAAAACAUUGCUUUUGUGAUAACCCCUACCUCCUUAAUACCCGCUACACUUUUUUUUGUUCCCUUGUGAGGCCUAUUUUUUCUUUGCACACCGUCUUUGUAAGAUAUGUCAUUAUGACCCAGCCCCGAGGGUUCUACGACCGUCGCUGGUAUGUUAGAAUGCGUUCCUAACAAGGCCAGUGGGUGUAGGGAUCCACGAGGAAGUAAGGGCUUGUAAGGAGUGAUGCUCAGGAAGCGCCCCCCCUUGACGUGCAAGUGGCUUGUGCCAAGGAUUAAACAACACUGCUUAGCCCUUGUUCGGUUGACAGGGAAGUGAAA